GGGGGCGUACUGGUUUCGACAGGGGUAGGUGUGGCAUGGAUAGCGAGCCGGGAUCCCACCAGCCCGCAAUACGGUGGAAAGCUUUUAAACGCAAACGAAGAAUACGCUUUAGCAGCUUAAUGCUAACGUCCUACUCAGCUUAGCCUGCGGGCCGGGCUAGGGCGUCACACAGCAGGAUACCUGAGGUCCUAUUCUCGGCGGACCGAAUGGGAAACUUUAUCGAGAUAGCGCCAGCGAAGCCCGUCAGUAGGCGUCAAUGGGGCGAAAUCUAAAAUACUGACUGCGCUCGGAGAAGUCUAUGUAGCAAUGCUUUUGGACAGGAGUUCGAUUCUCCUCGCCUCCACCA
rnacentral:tmRNA from 1 species